AUUAUUAACUUGAUCAACUUUUUGAUCCCCAAGCGCAGAAGAGUUUCAGAGAGCAAAGACCAAAAUAGUUACUUGUGAAGUGAGCUCAAAAUGUCAGGUCCACUAAAAGUCCUCGGCUUCCUCUUUUGGUUGUUUUCCUUCAGUUUUGUGCGAGGUCAAGUGAAUCCACAAACACCAACCCUGAGCUUGGUUCCUGUAAUAACUCAGAAAAGUACAUCUGUCAUGUGUGUUAUUGAGGAUUUCUACCCCAAGGACCUCACUGUGCAGUGGGAAGUAAAUGAUACUAACUGCUUGAGACAAUCAAAACUGGAGUACAAACUGAAUGCUGAAGGUCUUUACACAGCAUACAGUCUUUGUAAAGUCAGCAGUGAGACGUGGAAUGCAAAUAUUGACUAUACUUGCGAGGCCAUGCACCAGGGAGAACUGAUUAGUGUGAGGAAGAACUUCAGAAUGAACCCACAACCACCAACCCUGAGCUUGGUUCUUGUAAUAACUCAGAAAAGUGCAUCUGUCAUGUGUGUUAUUGAGGAUUUCUACCCCAAAGACCUCACUGUGCAGUGGGAAGUAAAUGAUACUAACUGCUCGAGACAAUCAAACCUGGAGUACGAACUGAAUGCUGAAGGUCAUUACAACACACACAGCCUGUGCAAAGUCAGCAGUGAGACGUGGAAUGCAAAUACUGAGUAUACCUGUGUGGUCAACCACCUGGGAAAAGUGGUUAGAGUGAAGAAGAACUUCAAAGAUAAACUCACACUGAUGCUGAAGCCACCAAUUGAGAGAGAAUUAUUUGUCAAUAAUAAAGUUGUCUUGGAAGCUGUUGUUUCUGGAGAUGAACUAGAGACAGUGAAACAAGCUUCAGUGUCGUGCAAAGUGAAGAAUAAACCUGUAACCAGUGUUGCAGGAAAUAUAAACUUUCCUGAAGGCGCUUCACAGUUUAUAAGAACCCACUACAUCUUUGUUGAUACAGAGAAAUGGUUUAAUAGUGAAAUGGUCACCUGCAGCAUUCAUGACAGAGGCAUCAAUAGAGACAUCAAGCAGGAGAUCAGCUUUGAUAAAGGCGAUGGACGGAAACCCAGUGUUGUCAUUUACACACCUGAUAUUAACCACACAGACGCAGUCUCUCUGGUGUGUGAGGUCACCAGCCCUAAACUUGGCCAUGUCUAUAUCAUGUGGAAAGUGAACAAAGAGUCUUACAUAAAGGGCUCAACCAGCGCUCCCAUUCAACGAAAUAACUCCAUCUCUGUUCUCAGUAUUCUGACAGUGUCGAAACAAGAGUAUGAAGAUCCCAGAACUACCAUCACCUGUGCAGUCAAACAUGCCAACAUGAGCAAUAUAGGAUCUGCAUUACAAGUUUCAACAUCCCAAAGGAAACAGGCAGAAUGUCCAGUGUGCAAUAGAGAUUAUGCUUGUUAAUGUACAGCAACUCUCUCAAAAGAGCAUGAAGUUUAUCUGUUGUUCACUUGUACGUACUCCAGUGCUUCUGUCCUGUUGCUCUCUUGUCAGCUUAUAUAUCUUUGUUGUUGUUUUUAUGCAUUUUUUUGUCUAUCUGUAUCAAUGUUCUGCAAGAGUCUUCAACUUCAAUGCUAAAUUACAGUAAACACUAUGUUUAAUUUGUUAUUGCAUGCAAAUAAAUAUGGUCACAUGAAAACAUAGUCAACACAAUAUAGUGUGAAAAAUCAAGUUUUCAAGAGAAAAAAAGGUAUUGUGAAUGUGAUACUGUUAGCCUGUUCAUGCCUUCUAACAUUUUCACAUUCUGUUCUCUAGAAAUUAUGAUUUUAAAUCCAGAACGAUUCAUUUCGAUUUGCUUUUGUUGUCUUAAAAUAUUAAGCAAUACAUUUUUCUGUUUGCA